GCCUAUGGCCACACCACCCUGAAAGUGCCUGAUCUCGCCUGAUCUCAGAAGCAAUACAGGGUCGGGCCUGGUUAGUACAUGGAUGGGAGACUGCCUGGGAAUACCAGGUGUCAUAGGCU
rfam:Xenopus laevis strain J chromosome 1L, whole genome shotgun sequence.